AGAAUAUCGUCGACGAGCUCCCGACGAACUUCGGAUGCAACUGGAGGAAAGAAUUUGUAUUCAUCACUUCUGAGUUUCUCCCUGGGAGCCGGGAGAUGUGGAACGAUCCGAAUCGAGUGCACAUGAAUGCCUCGAUCGAGCUGAGCACGAGGGACAUCGAGGCCUCGGAUCGUAUAGCGCGUACGCUUACAGCCUAUUCUGUACCGCGCGGUGUUCCCUUUGUCCUUUGCCAAAGGGA
rnacentral:lncRNA from 1 species